CCUACGGGUGGCAGCAGUGAGGAAUAUUGGUCAAUGGACGAGAGUCUGAACCAGCCAAGUAGCGUGAAGGAUGACUGCCCUAUGGGUUGUAAACUUCUUUUGCCGGGGAGCAAGCCUGAGCACGUGUGCCCAGGCGGAGAGUACCCGGAGAAAAAGCAUCUGCUAACUCCGUGCCCGCAGCCGCGGUAAUACGGAGGAUGCGAGCUUUAUCCGGAUUUAUUGGGUUUAAAGGGUGCGCAGGCGGGCUGUUAAGCCGGCGGUAAAAAUUCAGGGCUCAACCCUGUCGAGCCGUCGGAACUGGCAGUCUUGAGUGGGCGAGAAGUAUGCGGAAUGAGUGGUGUAGCGGUGAAAUGCAGAGAUAUCACGCAGAACGCCGAUUGCGAAGGCAGCAUACCGGCGCCCAAAUGACGCUGAGGCACGAAAGCGUGGUGAUCGAACAGGAUUAGACACCCUAGUAGUC
rnacentral:rRNA from 1 species